rnacentral:misc_RNA from 1 species
GUAAGUUUUUGAAUUGCCAUGGAAUGCCAGUGUUUGUUUAUAGAAGAUGGCUCUUGUGUAAAUUGCUGUAAAUGAAUAGACACUUCUUUCAGUGAAGAUAGAAUCAUACAAUGUUAAGUUGUCCGCUGAAUUAGGCUGACUGUUGGUGGUGCUGAAAAAUAGUUUGCAAUUUUUCACUCUUAAAUAUGCUCUCAGAGGCUUGUAGUGUAUAUGCAACAAAUUUUGAAUUGAUUAUGGCAUGAGUUCUUUGCUUUCCAUUUAACAUUUGUGGGUACAUGUUAGUUGUUUAAUUUUCAAAGACUAAGCUUUAUCCAUCUUAUAGAUGUCCUAUUAUUUACAAUAUUAGACUGGAUAAAAAUAGUUUGCAAAUGUAUGUAAGGCAAACUAUUUUGAUAUCUGGUAUUUAUAUAUAAUUUCAUAAUCAUUGUGGUUGUUUCAUUUAUAUUUUCUUGACCUUUUCAUCUGUCUGCUGUAGUACUGAUGUCUCGAUGGAUGAACG